GAGAGUAUAGCUCAGUGCUAGAGCACGUGCCUAGCAUGCUCAAGGCCCUGGGAUCAAUCCCCAGUAUCAUCA
rnacentral:tRNA from 1 species